rnacentral:rRNA from 1 species
GUGCCAGCAGCCGCGGUAAUACCGGCAGCCCGAGUGAUGGCCGAUCUUAUUGGGCCUAAAGCGUCCGUAGCUGGCCGGACAAGUCCGUUGGGAAAUCCACCUGCCCAACGAGUGGGCGUCCGACGGAAACUGCACAGCUUGGGACCGGAAGGCCCGAAGGGUACGUUCGGGGUAGGAGUGAAAUCCCAUAAUCCCGCACGGACCACCGGUGGCGAAAGCGCCUCGGGAAGACGGACCCGACAGUGAGGGACGAAAGCUGGGAUCUCGAACCGGAUUAGAAACCCGUGUAGUCC